UCAUGUGGCUGCCCAGAAAUGACCCGAGUGAAGCCAAGAAGUUGAACAUUAAGCAACCUCCCCCGGUGAUGCUGCUGAAAUGAGAGAAUGCAUCCUCUGACACUGUGUGACACAGCCCAGCUGUAAAUUUUCUUUCCUGAAGAUUUGUCACUCUACAUUAUUCCUGCAGUAAACACACACAGAAGAAUAAAACCUAGGACCAUGACUCCACAUCACACCAGUGUCACUUUCUUGCCAGCAGGACCUUAGCUCCAAAAAGCUUGGUGAUGUGCUUUCAAAAUUGGUGGGAGAGCUGGAGGAUGUGCCGAGGAAUCGCUGCCCACGCAUGGCCCCUGACAUCACCCUGGUGUUGGGGAGCACUUGGAGCCUGAGCCCCAGGAGCUGCUGUCUUCAGCAGGAGGCUGAUUUCACCUCCUUCGGCUGGUGAGGAAGCUCAACCAAGUUUAAGGACUUGAUCUG
rnacentral:lncRNA from 1 species